rnacentral:rRNA from 1 species
UACGGAGGAUGCGAGCGUUAUCCGGAUUUAUUGGGUUUAAAGGGUGCGCAGGCGGCACAGCAAGCCGGCGGUCAAAUCGCGGGGCUCAACCCCGCCCAGCCGUCGGAACUGCCGGGCUAGAGUGGGCGAGAAGUGCGCGGAAUGCGUGGUGUAGCGGUGAAAUGCAUAGAUAUCACGCAGAACUCCGAUUGCGAAGGCAGCGCACCGGCGCCCUACUGACGCUCAGGCACGAAAGCGUGGGUAUCGAACAGG